rnacentral:tRNA from 2 species
AAAGCUUUAAGUUAAAUAAACUAUUAACCUUCAAAGUUAAAAAUAUAUCUCUAUUAUAAGCUUUA